rnacentral:rRNA from 1 species
CCUGAUCCAUGCCGAACUCAGCAGUGAAACCGCUUAGCGCCGAUGGUAGUGUGGGGUCUCCCCAUGUGAGAGUAGGUCAUCGUCAGGC